rnacentral:sRNA from 1 species
UGGGUGACACUCAACAGGAUUCCCGGUGUUCCUGGCUCUAUGCCAAAUGCAUCCUGGACUGGAAACCUCAGAGCUAUAAAGUGGAGUGACAUGGAAGACAGACACGGAGGCUGCCACGGUGAGGCUCUCGUUCCAUGCUUCUAGGCCACUGCCUGUUGGUGUUAGCAGGAAGGUAGCUGUGGAAUCCAGGGUUCUCAUGGAGAGAGAAUUGCUGCUAUAUUUAGACCAAUCUGUUAGUUAUUGGAGAAGCCAGAGGCUUCAAGACACAGUCCUUCAAAAAUAAGUUUAAACAUCUCAUUGAUGUUCUCCAACUUAUAAUU